AGUUUAUUCUCUUUUCACACGUUCUCUCAUUUAUUCUAUGCCAUGUCGUCACAUAUCCUACAUGGCAAUAUUUACCAACAUGCUAUGUAGGAUAUGUGAUGAUGUGGCAUAGAAUGCGAGGAGAGAGAGCAAACUUGUAUGUGCAACA